rnacentral:rRNA from 1 species
UACGAAGGGUGCAAACGUUGCUCGGAAUUAUUGGGCGUAAAGCGCACGUAGGCGGCAUUGCAAGUCGGAUGUGAAAUCCCUCGGCUUAACCAAGGAAGUGCAUCCGAAACUGCAGUGCUUGAGUACUUAAGAGGAUCGCGGAAUUCCCGGUGUAGAGGUGAAAUUCGCAGAUAUCAGGAGGAACACCGGUGGCGAAGGCGGGUCUCUGGGCCGAUACUGACGCUGAGGAGCGAAAGCGUGGGGAGCGAACAGG